ensembl:snoRNA small nucleolar RNA SNORA38
CCCUCCUACAAAGGUGUGUCUGUGGUUCCGUCUUUGGACACAUAAGAACUGGAGGCAAAGAAAUGUGGACUUGAAGAAGUCUGGAGCCAGCUUGCUCCCUGCAGGCUCAAGAUCAACCAUCCCACACAG